GACCCCAACACUGAAUGUCAAAGCAGGUGAUCACUCCCAAGGGAGACAGGCUGGCCUCGCAAGCCCAGCGGGGCUGCUGACACCUGCUCACUCACAGAAGCUGAGGGCAUCAAAGAACAUGUACCACAUUACCGGGUGAUCCCCAGUGAGUCAUGAGAUUACAGGCCAGACAGACUGCGUUAGGGAUCUCGCCUGACCAGCGAUCUGAGCUGAGUCGGGGAGAAAGAGCCAUGUGCCGCGGUGCUGUGGGGCGUCUGCCAACCGCCUCUGCUUCAGCUCAUCAGCCGUGUGACACUGAGCAAAUGACUUUUAUUCUCUGGUUCUUCAUUUCCUCAUUGGCAAAAUGGGAAUAAUAAAAUUUUGCCCAACAGAAGUGGUUGGAAAGAUUUAAGAAAUGCAUGUAUACAUAGGACAGGUGCCUAGGAAGUGCCAGACAGUGGGCACCGAUAAAUGGCUUGCUAUUGUUAGCAUUUAAAAUAAAAUGCAACCAUGUGUUUGUAUUUA